GACCUGGUAGCACAGUUGGUAGUGCGUCUGCUAAAAUUAUGUCAACUUUGAAUACCUUCAAGCAGAAGAUCCCCGUUUGACUCGGGGUCAGGUCA